GGAGUUGUGGCUCAGCGGUAGAGCACUCGCCUAGCACGAGCGAGGCACUGGGUUCGAUCCUCAGCACCA
rnacentral:tRNA from 1 species